AGUGGCCAACAACUGAAAGAAACCAGGUUUUUUCCCCUUCUGGAUAAGUCUCUCGUAAACAUCUAUGCAAAUAUCAGAUAAAUCUUAGUGCAUUACAUAACCACGUACUGCUCCAAGAUUGCACUGCAUAUUCCUAUAUCAACAAGAUGCUCACAGGAAACUGAAGCAACCACAUUUCAUCAUCUUAGUGAGCUACAAGAUAUGACUGGCCAAGAACUAAUGCCAUUCCUUUAAGGAAAAUGCUUUCACUCGCUAAGUAUGCAAUGAAGCAAUUGUCAAUACCAAUGAUUAACAACCAGCCAAAGAAAAUGACCCAGUGACAACAUAAAAAAAAUAAAUAAAAAUAAUAAAAAAGAUCAAUGUCCAGUGUACUUUAUCAUGGUUUUAAAUAAUGAUCAUUACAUUAUUUAAAGAUUCUUUUUUUGGCUUAUCAUUACCAUUACCACUUUAUUUACCUGACUUUUAAAUUUGUAAUUGUAAAGGCUAUUACAACAGUUAUUUAAAGGUUAUGGCCGUUAUUUAAAGGUAACGGCAAUUACCAACUGUUAUGUAUCAGUCGUAACUGCCGUUACUUUUCCAACUUGAAUUUUUGGCUUUUUUUUUUACUUUUUUAUGUGAAAUGUAGUAGAGGGAAUCUUUUUUUUGGGCAAAAAAAUAUCUUGGCUUACUCAUUUUAGAACAUUUUCAUUCUCUCUAGGCAACUAAGCUAUUUUUUCUCAAUUUUCUCUCAAUUUUCCCCACAACCAACUCAAGUGAAAUCAUUCAUUUCUCUAUAAAUUUUUUAGCUCAAGAGUAUGGAUCAUCAAAUAGACAAGGUAUUUUUAAAGUGAAAGAGAUUAAAGGGUGAGUUGCUAUUUUUUUUUGUUUCUUUCUAAUUUUUAGCUAUAUUCACAUUUUUAGGUAAAUACAUAAAUA
rnacentral:misc_RNA from 1 species